UUUUUAUACGCCCGUCAAAAUUUUGACGGGACGUAUUAUGGUAUACAAAUGUCCGGUGUCCGUCCGUCUGUCCGGCGUAAACAUGUCGCACCGUAACUUGAGAACGACUUAUCCAAAUUUCAUGAAACUUUAUGUAGUUGUUUCUUAUGAUGGUCAAAUGAUCUGUAUACUUUUUGGUGAAAAUAAGAUUUAAACUUUUUAAGUUACGG
rnacentral:lncRNA from 1 species